rnacentral:rRNA from 1 species
GGUGAACGCUGGCGGUAGGCCUAACACAUGCAAGUCGAACGGCAGCACAGUAAGAGCUUGCUCUUACGGGUGGCGAGUGGCGGACGGGUGAGGAAUACAUCGGAAUCUACUUUUUCGUGGGGGAUAACGUAGGGAAACUUACGCUAAUACCGCAUACGACCUACGGGUGAAAGCAGGGGAUCUUCGGACCUUGCGCGAUUGAAUGAGCCGAUGUCGGAUUAGCUAGUUGGCGGGGUAAAGGCCCACCAAGGCGACGAUCCGUAGCUGGUCUGAGAGGAUGAUCAGCCACACUGGAACUGAGACACGGUCCAGACUCCUACGGGAGGCAGCAGUGGGGAAUAUUGGACAAUGGGCGCAAGCCUGAUCCAGCCAUACCGCGUGGGUGAAGAAGGCCUUCGGGUUGUAAGCCCUUUUGUUGGGAAAGAAAAGCAGCAGGUUAAUACCCCGCUGUUCUGACGGUACCCAAAGAAUAAGCACCGGCUAACUUCGU